UACGUAGGUGGCAAGCGUUGUCCGGAUUUAUUGGGUUUAAAGGGUGCGUAGGCGGCUUUGUAAGUCAGUGGUGAAAUAUGGCAGCUCAACUGUCAGGGUGCCAUUGAUACUGCGGAGCUUGAGUACAGAUGAGGUAGGCGGAAUUGACGGUGUAGCGGUGAAAUGCUUAGAUAUCGUCAAGAACACCGAUAGCGAAGGCAGCUUACUAGGCUGUAACUGACGCUGAGGCACGAAAGCGUGGGGAGCAAACAGG
rnacentral:rRNA from 1 species